rnacentral:rRNA from 1 species
UACGUAGGGGGCAAGCGUUGUCCGGAAUCAUUGGGCGUAAAGGGCGCGUAGGCGGCGUUUUAAGUCGGGGGUGAAAGCCUGUGGCUCAACCACAGAAUGGCCUUCGAUACUGGGACGCUUGAGUAUGGUAGAGGUUGGUGGAACUGCGAGUGUAGAGGUGAAAUUCGUAGAUAUUCGCAAGAACACCAGUGGCGAAGGCGGCCAACUGGUCCGAUACUGACGCUGAGGCGCGAAAGCGUGGGGAGCAAACAGG